rnacentral:lncRNA from 1 species
UGUACUCGUCUGAUCCGGAACAAUGUUCAUUCUUCACUCUUUUUGAACCACAAUGCUUCUAAACACCUCCAAUCACUCCAUAAGACACUCCGAUACCUGAUAAAGACAUAUGAAUGCAAUAUGGAUCCUAAAGAUGUAAAAUUCCUAAUCUAUAUGAUCAUUAUGUGCAAAAUGGAUAGUUAAAACAAUGCAAAUAUGCAAGAUAUCAACUCCCCAACACUAGUUCUUUACUUGUCCUCAAGUAAACUUUUCAAAACACAAGGAGGAGAGAUACAAAGAUGCUAGCUUAGCGAAAACAAACACUCAAUGCACUCAACUUGACAUCCUAAAGAAAUAUAGCAAAGAGCAUGAGCAAACUCUCUUAUUAUACUCUAGCUUCUCUAGGCCUAUCCAUACUCUUAUGCCUCUACACAAGUUGCAAUACUCAUCAACUAACAAGUUCUUUAAACCAGCUCUCACAUUGAUUCUCUCACACACACAAGGUGAAUUCUCACAAAUGGGCACAUGAUCUCAAUCAUUUGGUUAAGUAAGCAAUGGUAUAAUUUGAAUGAAGAGAAGGAUUCAAAUGUUGUCAUUUUAAGGUGGCAAUCACUCAAGAAUCAAGGAGUUUGAUCAUUAUGCAAAAUUUAUCUAAGAUUAGGAGCAAUUCAUGCAUACAUGGAUCCAUCCUCAUCAUUCUACCCCAUUCCUAAGUGAUUACAAAUUCUACACCCAUUUCAUUCAUCCCAUAACCCAAAAUGAAAAACACUCACAUCACCCACCCAAUGAACAACAUUCUUUUCUUAAGAC